AUACUUUGGGGAGCUGGUGCAAAGCCGGCUGAGAGUAGGAUGUUAUCCUUGACCCAUAUAACCUGUUCGGAUAAUGCCAGCGUAGGGAGAAAAAUU
rnacentral:ncRNA from 1 species